rnacentral:lncRNA from 1 species
GGGGCCAGAUCGGAGCCAGCAUCCUCUAGGGGGAAAGGCCCCAUAUCCCCCAAAUCCAGUCUGUCCCCCGCCCUGGGUCUGGAUCACCUCUGUGUGUCCUGGUCCCUGUCCCCAAGCCAGGCAGUGCCCCCGCCCCGCCCUUGGGCAGGGCAUGGGGCUGCAGGUGGAGUGUUGGGAGAGCAGUGGGCUUUGGGCUGCCCUGCCCGUCUGUUGAGGCCCACGCCAGGCAGGGACCGCUCCCGUCUCUGGUGCUCACGGCCCCUCUGCCUUUCAGCUCGUGGCGUGGGAAGAGCAGCAGCUGGACCAGCCUGUGAACUUCAACAACAGCAAGAUCGACCCUGCUCCCUUCCAGCUGGUGGAGCGCACCUCCCUGCACAAGACUCACACCAUCUUCUCGCUCCUGGGCGUGGACCACGCGUAUGUGACCAGUAUUGGGCGCCUCGUUGGCAUGGUGUCCCUCAAAGAGCUGCGCAAGGCCAUCGAGGGGUCGGUCACUGCCAAGGGCGUGAAGGUCCGCCCGCCCCUGGCCAGCUUCCGGGACAGCACCGCCAGCAGCAGCGAGACGGAGACCACGGACAUCCACCAGCUGUGGGACCGGCGCCAGCGCCUCUCCAUCCCCCGCGAGUCCAGCCCCUCUGAGACGGACGACAAGUGCCAGUGAGGGGUGGGGCCGGCGGGUAGAGCCCGCCCCAGCUGCUGACGGACAUGACAGACACUGCCAGCCCCAGUGGCGGUGGCGCCGGUGCCACUGCCCCUUUGUGCCUGCAGCCCUGACACCCUGCACGGCCGGACUCGCCGCCUGCCACCAGGGGAGGAGCCAGAGCCCCAGCAAGCCACUGCCAUCAGCCCUGCCCGGCAGCCCGUGUGGUGAAGAGGAAGGGUCCAAGUCCAGCCCCUGGCCUCCGCCUGCGAGGUUCUCUGGGCCGCUGGCGCAGGGCUCCUGGGGGCAGAAUGCAAAUAUCCAGAUUCCUGCAGCACCACCCCCAGCUGCCAGGGGCCACUGGUUCCCCAACCAGCACUGAGUUCGAAUCCCCCUGCCCCCCAAUUCUGCAAAUGCCUCAGCCCCGGGCCCUCCAGCCCCAGCUCCGCCAGUGCCCCUGAAUCCCGCCCCACAGCCCGCCCCCUUGGCUCGACCUGCCGGUGCUCCUCAGGCCUGAGCCGCAGGCCCCCCC